rnacentral:lncRNA from 1 species
AGGAUACAGAGAGCCAAGCUGACGUUUUCAACCUGCGACUGCUCGGAUUUUGGUGUUUUGGGGGAGUGCGACUGGGUCCUGGAACCAAUCCCCAGGGGAUAUGGAGAGUCACCGGUACCUUGGCUCAUCUGUUGGAAAAGAAUGUGUUUCUGCAGGGCACCAAAUGACGAAGAACUAUAAUGACUCCUUGCCGUAAACUGAAGGUGUGCUUCAAGGCUCCGUAUGGAUGGAGAGAGCAAGAGAAAGAGGAUAUAAAAUUUGUGAAACACCUAGGAACUGGACAGAUCAGAGUGAACUGAGGACCACGGAAGGAUUAAACCAAAAGUGGAAAGAGCUCGUGUCUGGGGGCCCCACUCUCAGGGAGGAAGCGUUGAGCAGUGGCUGGAGGAAGCAGCAGACAGUUCUGGGGCACAUGGAGCCCCCCUCCUGCCCCUCUACUCCUCUUACACCAGAGAGAGCUAACAAGACUGCAGGUGGCACUUUUCCCUGAAGAAAUCACCGAAACUCUCCCCGCCCGCCGCCGUGCUUCCCUUGGCCUGUCUUCGGUGACAGCAAGGGCAUCUACAAGCCAG